GCCUCAGGUCUGUGAUCUCUCACUGGAUUGGAGAGGCUAUAUUUGGGAGGGUUAAAUCCUCUGAAGAUGGAGCACUUGUAACAUUAUUGAUGGAGCGCUUGUAAAUUAUUCACCCCAUAUUGGUGAAGUCUCCCCUUGCCGCCUCUUCCCGGCAUCCGGUGCCUCCGUUUCCUGAGAUUGUCUGAGGCUCUGCUGACUUAGCAUCUCCUCCUCUUCAGACACCCAGUGGUGGGGAGAAAGUGGGAGCUUCGUUCCAGGAUGUUCUUGACACUCUGUUCCAGCAAGAACCUUCUUCAGACCUUCUUUGGCUGAGGGCAGGGUUUGUUUCCUUUGCUCUUUGCUUCCGGUAGGCCCGGCUUGGGACAGAGCCAGAUGCAGUUGUCUGCCGCAGUCUCCUCCCAGAGACUCUCCGGGUAUCAUAUGGGUGCACCUGCCGAAAAUGCUGGGAAGACUCCGGGGUCAGCAGUCCUCCUUUACAGACUCACAGCCGCACAGACCUGUGUGAAGAGACCACAAGUGCCUGUAGGAAAGAGUUGUAUACAUGAAAGCAGACAGGAUCUCCUUUUAGCCCCAGCUAUCC